rnacentral:rRNA from 2 species
GAACGCAGCGAAAUGCGAUACGUAGUGUGAAUUGCAGAAUUCCGCGAAUCAUCGAGUCUUUGAACGCAAGUUGCGCCCGAGGCUUGACCAAGGGCAUCCCUGCCAGAGCGUCACC